rnacentral:lncRNA from 1 species
GAAAAUUCAAAAUUUAGAACAUGACUUUGACCUUGACCUUUGACCUUCACCUCAAUUUCCUUCAAUUGGACCGAGGACUUCAUAUCAAAAGACUGUAGAACACUACGACUUAUAACGUAUGAAUUUAUCCACCAAAUCGCCUAACUUAAAUUUUCAAAGGGAAAUAUAGUGAUAACAAGAAAAAGGGGACGCGGGGAGAUAACUCCUAUAAGAAUGAGUGUUCGGUCACACAGGGUGAGUUUUGAAACCCCCAUUUCUGUACAACAAUAUUGGCCAAAAAAUCCAUUCGAUAUAUUGUAGGACAAAAAAGCAUCGCAGACGGC